rnacentral:rRNA from 1 species
UACGUAGGAUGCAAGCGUUGUCCGGAUUUAUUGGGCGUAAAGAGAACGUAGGUGGUUUCUUAAGUUUGGUCUUAAAGACCGGGGCUCAACCCCGGGAAUGGACCGAAUACUGGGAGACUAGAGGAUGUUAGAGGAAAGUGGAAUUCCAAGUGUAGCGGUGAAAUGCGUAGAUAUUUGGAGGAACACCAGUGGCGAAAGCGGCUUUCUGGGACAUUCCUGACACUGAGGUUCGAAAGCUCGGGGAGCAAACAGG